UAGGAAUAAUGCUUAUGAUUCGGAUAAUUCACCAGCACCAGCUUAUCAUGUUUAAGCGGCGAAUUCCAUGUUUGGACUCUUACCUAGACAAGGUUAACAUGUCACUCUGGCCUCGCUUCAAGAUGGUCUUUGACUUGCAUUUGAGCAGCUUGCGGAAUGCUAAUAUUAAGACUCUUUGGGAG